AUUGAACGCUAGCGGCAGGCCUAACACAUGCAAGUCGAACGAGUGGCGGACGGGUGAGUAAUGUCUGGGAAACUGCCCGAUGGAGGGGGAUAACUAAUGGAAACGGUAGCUAAUACCGCAUACCAUCGGAUGUGCCCAGAUGGGAUUAGCUAGUCGGGGGGGUAAUGGCUCACCUAGGCGACGAUCCCUAGCUGGUCUGAGAGGAUGACCAGCCACACUGGAACUGAGACACGGCCCAGACUCCUACGGGAGGCAGCAGUGGGGAAUAUUGCACAAUGGGCGCAAGCCUGAUGCAGCCAUGCCGCGUGUAUGAAGAAGGCCUUCGGGUUGUAAAGUACUUUCAGCGGGGAGGCGUUACCCGCAGAAGAAGCACCGGCUAACUCCGUGCCAGCAGCCGCGGUAAUUC
rnacentral:rRNA from 1 species